rnacentral:tRNA from 1 species
GGUUGUCACUCAGUGGUAGAGUGCUUGCCUGACAUAUGUGAGGCCCUGGGUUCGAUCCUCAGCACCA